GGCUUCGAGGAGGCGGCGGUGGAGGAGCUGGAGUUGGCGUUGCCGGACUUCACCUUCUUCCUGGGCCGGUACUUGUAGUCGGGGUAGUCAGCCAUGUGCUUGAGGCGCAGCCGCUCCGCCUCCCGAAUGAAAGGGAUCUUGUCGCUGUCUUUGAGCAGCUUCCAGCGUUUGCCCAGCCGCUUGGAGAUCUCGGCGUUGUGCAUGUCGGGCGACUGUUCCAUGAUCUUGCGCCGCUCGAUCUGCGACCACACCAUGAAGGCGUUCAUGGGCCGCUUGAUGUGCCCACUUGGCGUCUUGCACCAGCUCGGGUCGUCGGCCUUGCCGCCCGUGGAGGCUGUGGAGCCGGGCGUGGGGGAGGAGGCGAUGCCCAGCUCCAGGCCGGCGCCCGAGUCCGAGCUCUCGCCGGCCAGCAGCGCUUCCGUGUUCUCGGCGUUGUUGGUUUGCUGCACCAUGGCCCCGGCUCCGCGGGCGCCCACGCGCGCUCACACCCUCGCGGCGGCCGCGGCGCGAUCGCCGGGCCCUCCCGGCUCCCGGAGCCAAGCGCACGCCGAGCGGGAGGACGCGUGCGGCUGCGGAGCUGGCCGCUCAACUCCCGGCCGGGGCGGAGGUGGGCGAAGAGCGAAAAGUCACCAAAGGAUGCGGGGUAGGAGUACUCCGCCUCUUGCAGAGGAGUUAUAGUUCCCAGGCUGGAGCGUCUCCCUCCCUCCCUCCCUCUCUCGCUCUUGCUCUUCUCUUUCUCACCGCGCCGCAGUUUGCUCUAUCUCGGCUCGGAGUCCUGGAGACCGUGCUAAAGUGAAGAGGAGUUUCUCGAAUGCUGGUUGCUGAAGCUUCCAGUGCAAGUUUCUCGCCGCCUCCCAGGCAAGUCUGGAUUUUUUUUUUUUUUUUUUCUUCCCCUGAAGCAGUUGAUUCCAGUUCACGAGCGCUCUCGGGAGCUCAGGAAAGCGACAUAGUCUCUAUCAUUUAGUCCCUCUCCUGCAAUGCAAAGCAGAAAAGACUCUGGCUCCAGGACUCUCUGUGGGCGGAAUCGGCACUAAGGAGUUUGUGCAAUUAUUUUGUUGCAAGGUAGGAAGCCAAAAAGCCUUCAUGCAACAGACUGGCAUGAAUAAAUGUAUGUUUCCCCCUCCCUUCUGCAAGAAGGGAGCUGGUAAUGGCACAGUUCCUCCGAUGCAGACUCUUAAAGAGCGUGCAAGAACUAGAGACCCGGGAGCGAAACAGGCCUCUCCCCCUCACACACUGUUUCUCUUGCUGCAGCUUAGAGCAGACCCCAAUUCCGCCUCGCGCCUCUUUAUCCUUUCCCAGUCCUGGCCGCAGCCAAUCAGCCGCUGUAACCAACGCUUCCUCGUGCCAAGCCCCUCCCCCGGGCUUCCUAUUGGCUUGGAACCCGAUGCAAUAAUAAUCUCCGCGUGCAAUGAGAAGCUCCAAAUCUGACCUCAUUCCAAUUUACAGAGCAAACUUUUUAAAAGGGCUAGAAGUACAGCUGAGAUUUCUGCUGCCUCUUUUUUCCUUUUGCUGUGCCUGCGUGUGUGCGUUUGUGUGUGUGUCUGUGUAUGUGUGUGUGUGCAGCAUGUGGUGUUUGAAGAGGAUGUUAAUGCAUGAAAUUAUUAAGGGGAGAGACGGAAAUGUAUUCUAACCAUUAUGUUAGAUAACAAGGGGCUUAGAAGGGGGGAGGGUGAAAUACUGUAAAUGGAAGCUUUCUGCUUAAAAGCCAAGUGAUUAUUUUUAUUAGUUCUUUUCAGUAUUGGAAUAAAGAAUCAGCCUCUGGUGCAAAAUCUGUUCCUCGGCUCCUUCAUAAAGCCAAGGAUGUAGAAGGGGGAGGAAAACCACGACAAUAAAUCAAUGGAUAUUGAAAACCAUUAAGAAAGUGGUACCUGGACACCUGUCAUCACAGUUAUUUUAACAACUCGAGGUACAGCACAGAUGUUGAUGUACUGUGUAAAUCCCUUCAGAGCAAUUUGGGUGCUGUUUGUGAAGGCAGAGAAGAAGAAUUUUUGCAAUAAUUAUUUGCUUUCUUAACCAAACAGGGGUUAACUAUGGUUACUUAAUGAUUUAAAUUCGGCUAUAAAUCCUGGAUAGCCUAAACAGAGGAGCUUUCCACUGGAGCACAUUAGGCAGCAUUCUAUACUUAACUCAAGGGGAGAAUUUACAUAGAAUUUUGUGUAAGAUGAUAAAGGAUAGGAAUCGAUUUUACUUUCUAAGUAUUUGCUUUCCACAUUUUCAGAAUUAAAGAUUGCUCCACUCUGUCCUUCUCCCAGCCUAAACCCUCCUCCUUUCCUUUAUAUAUAUUUUCUCCUAUAUAUUAGCUGCUUCAAUCAAAUGGAACUGAAAGACCCAGACAAAGAGAAACUAGAAGGCAGUGGUAGCUGGUUGCAGAAGAAAAUGGAACCUCUGGAUUUACAUUAGAUUUGGUGAUUUAUAUUAGAUCUGGUCGCUAGUCCUUUUUACUGGUCUUGUAACCCUGGGGAUGUGACAAGUAUCAGUUUUCCUCAUCUGUGAUGUGGGAACAGUAGGAACUACUUUAUGUAGGGUGUUUGUGAAGGUUGAAUGAGCUUGAUGUACAGUAAGCCCUCAGUGAAUGCUGUUGUCCUUCCCUGGCUAAUUCACAUUGUGAAGACACUCCCUUUAGUAGAAGCAUGUUGUUCAAGAGACUAAAAUUGAGGAUGGCCACUGAUGUGAAAAAAUAAUCACAGAUCAUAAACAUGAACUAUCCAAGGACCACAUCAGCAAUCCUAUUGUCCUAAUGAUUUGAAAAGAAACUUCAUGAAGAGCCUUGUGAAGAACGCAGCAAAGAAAAUGUGCUUUCGUAGUCAGAAUACAUGCUAAUUUAGCCAUGAAAAUUACCUUUGGUCUAAGUAUCCUCAUGAGAACAAGAAGAAAACGGGUGUUUCCACUGGGCCACGGAGAUUUGAAGCAUAAAUACAAGCUUCUGUCUGCCCCAUUUCGCGAGGCAGGAGCAGGGCACACCCACUGGGAGCCUGGGUUUGCUCUGCCACCAGCCGGCUCCCAAUCCGGGGAGAAGCCGCCGCCAGGUGGCAGCGCUGAGCCUCCCUGCACUCGCAUGGAGACGUGGGAAAACGUGGAGACUGUCAGACUUCUUUCUUCUCCCCCUUCCACCUCUCCCGAACCCUUAUCAUCCCACACUCUUCCAACGUGUUUAGGUAGCAGUUUAAAUGAUCAGAGGUUAUAGAGUGUGUCGAUGAAUCUUGAUGAUUUUUUUUUAAAUCAUAAAUCGAGUUUGGGGCAACGAACAGUUUUGGCCUCCUGUUCACUUGUCAAAGCUCCCAGACACUGGAGACGCCAAGGCUAGCUCCGGUUUGGGUCUAGUAAGUGAACCGGGCAGUUAUCAAUUACCGUGUCCGUAUCUUGCUGAAGCUGCAAGUAGUUAGAAGUCUCUCUCCGAGAGCCGCUGCAAAGGAGGCGCGCUUUACUUAAGGACUGGCAACGGAUACCCCUCCUCCUGGAAAGAUGGUCUCAGCCAGACGCCUGACCGAGCGCAGCGACUCGGUGGCGCAGGCUCGGCGCUCUUCCUGCCCUGAGCUCGGAGAGGAUUCGGCGGGGAUUAAUGGUGCUCAGCCGCGUUCCGCCGCGCCGGCUGAGACUGGCCUUGCGAUUAUGGUUACAGGGAGGAAAUAAAUUGGAAUCGACUCA
rnacentral:lncRNA from 1 species